AUUGAACGCUGGCGGCAGGCCUAACACAUGCAAGUCGAACGAGUGGCGGACGGGUGAGUAAUGCCUGGGAAACUGCCCGAUGGAGGGGGAUAACUACUGGAAACGGUAGCUAAUACCGCAUACUAUCGGCUGUGCCCAGAUGGGAUUAGCUUGUAGGUGAGGUAACGGCUCACCUAGGCGACGAUGCCUAGCUGGUAUGAGAGGAUGACCCGGCGCACGGGGCAUGGUGCAGGGUCCAGCCUCCUACGUGAGGCAGCAGUGGGGAAUAUUGCACAAUGGGCGGAAGCCGGAUGUAGCCUGGCCGUGUGUAUGAAGAAGGCCUUCGGGUUGUACAGUACUUUAAGCGGGGAGGCGUUACCCGCAGAAGAAGCAUCGGCUAACUCCGUGCCAGCCGCCGCGGUAAUUC
rnacentral:rRNA from 1 species